rnacentral:rRNA from 1 species
UACGAAGGGGGCUAGCGUUGUUCGGAAUUACUGGGCGUAAAGCGCGCGUAGGCGGUUUUGCAAGCCAGAGGUGAAAUGCCUGAGCUCAACUUAGGAAUUGCCUUUGGGACUGCGAGGCUUUGAGGACGGGAGAGGUGAGUGGAAUUCCCAGUGUAGAGGUGAAAUUCGUAGAUAUUGGGAAGAACACCGGUGGCGAAGGCGGCUCACUGGCCCCGUUUCUGACGCUGCAGCGCGAAAAGCGUGGGGAUCAAACAGG